AAAAGAAUAAGCUAAAUAAGCUAUUGGGCUCAUACCUCAAUUAUAAAGGUUUUAACCCUUUUCCUUUUA
rnacentral:tRNA from 1 species